GCUGGUUGACUGUGUGUUUCCUCAGGUUAUCAGCAUGUCCUAAUGGCUGCAGCUGCUGGUUGGAUGCUCUCAAUGUCCUGCUGCAUCUGCUGCUGUUUCAAUCACAGAAAAAAAAAGAAGCAUGCUCAACUAAGGGAACCAGAUGAGGGCGUGACAUCAUCCAACGAGACAGGGGACAACUGAUGGACCUCUGAGACUUCAUACAUUAUGUCAAUCUACCUAUUAUUUCAACAUACUGUGUGGAUUAGUCCACAUCAAACAUAGGAU